UGUCCUCUCCACAGUCACAAAGCACACAGGUCCUCACCAUGGAAUGCAGGUGGAGCAUCCUCUUCUUGGUGACAGCGGCCACAGGUGUCCACUCACAGGUCCAGCUGCAGCAGUCUGGGCCUGAGUUGGUGAAGCCUGGGGACUCAGUGAAGCUUUCCUGCAAAGCUUCCGGCUACAUCUUCACUAGUUAUGUUAUAAGCUGGGUAAAGCAGAAGACCGGACAGGGCCUGGAGUUGAUUGGAUGGGUUUAUCCUGGAAAUGAUGGUACUAGUUACAAUCAAGACUUCCAGGGCAAGGCCACAGUGACUGCAGACAAAUCCUCCAGCACAGCGUAUAUGGAGCUUAGGAGCCUGACAUCUGAGGACUCUGCAGUCUAUUACUGUGCAAGAGACACAGUGUUGCAACCACAGCCUGAGUGUGUCAGAAACCCUUGGGGAGCAGGAAGCUGCCUUGGGCCUGAGAUAAUAGAGAGGAUCAUCCAGGGACUCACUCAGAAAUAA